rnacentral:rRNA from 1 species
UACGGAGGGUGCGAGCGUUGUCCGGAAUCACUGGGCGUAAAGGGCGCGUAGGCGGCGCGAGCAGUCAACGGUGAAAGCCCGGGGCUCAACCCCGGGUCGGCCGUCGAUACUCUCGUGCUGGAGCACUGUAGAGGCAGGUGGAAUUCCGGGUGUAGCGGUGGAAUGCGUAGAGAUCCGGAAGAACACCGGUGGCGAAGGCGGCCUGCUGGGCAGUAGCUGACGCUGAGGCGCGACAGCGUGGGGAGCAAACAGG